GUUGCAAAGAACUUUGAAGAGAGAGUUCAAGAGUACGUGAAACUGCUGAGAGGCAAACUGGUGGGCCCUCGAAAUCCCGCAUGCGGGGAGAUUCAGUCGGGUGUCGGCGGCCGUCUCCCGCGAGUUCGUUGCAACCGAAGAUCGGGGCACGUUCUAGGAGGCGCGUUCGUCAGAACCCGACGCAUUUCUCGCCCGCACGAGAGGACGCCGCAGCCGGUCGGGUAGCUGCGCGUGUCGGCCAUGAGGACGUGGCAGCGGCAGGUGACCGGCGGCCCUAGGCCUCUCUCGGAGGCACUAACGGUCGACGGUUGAUUAGCCGGCUCGUCCGUGGCGCGACACCCGACCGAGGUCGAGAAGAGAGAGUUCCGUGGCGGAAUCCCGGAACGAAUCCACUACUUUCUAACUUGAGAGCGAGCCGUCGGACAGGCGCGUUCCUGCGUGGUCGGGCAGUCACCGAACUGGUCGAUCUGGUGGGAGCGCGUCGCUGGUUUCCGAGUCUGGAUCUCGCGGAGGAUGGAAGGCUGGCGGCGAGUAGGUCGGUAACCCACCCGACCCGUCUUGAAACACGGACCAAGGAGUCUAACAUGUGCGCGAGUCGCAGGGUCUUGAAUAGGCCCACAGGCGAAAUGAAAGUGAAGGCCGCCGCCGCUUCCGAGCCCCUUUUCGGGGGGCGAGGGAGCGUCGCGGCCCGGUCGGGACUCGCACGUGACACGGCACGUGACGAAGCACCGACGACCCGCCCUGGUUCUAUCUACGAUAGGAACUCAAACGGAGUUCGAGCGCACACGUUGGGACCCGAAAGAUGGUGAACUAUGCCUGGGCAGGACGAAGCCAGAGGAAACUCUGGUGGAGGUCCGCAGCGGUUCUGACGU
rnacentral:rRNA from 1 species